rnacentral:tRNA from 1 species
UCCCUGGUGGUCUAGUGGUUAGGACUCUGCAUUUUCACUGAUGAGGACACAGGUUCAAUCCCUGGUCGGGGAA